rnacentral:rRNA from 1 species
CCUACGGGAGGCAGCAGUGAGGAAUAUUGGUCAAUGGACGAGAGUCUGAACCAGCCAAGUAGCGUGAAGGAUGACUGCCCUAUGGGUUGUAAACUUCUUUUAUACGGGAAUAAAGUGAGGCACGUGUGCCUUUUUGUAUGUACCGUAUGAAUAAGGAUCGGCUAACUCCGUGCCAGCAGCCGCGGUAAUACGGAGGAUCCGAGCGUUAUCCGGAUUUAUUGGGUUUAAAGGGUGCGUAGGCGGCCUUUUAAGUCAGCGGUGAAAGUCUGUGGCUCAACCAUAGAAUUGCCGUUGAAACUGGGAGGCUUGAGUAUGUUUGAGGCAGGCGGAAUGCGUGGUGUAGCGGUGAAAUGCUUAGAUAUCACGAAGAACUCCGAUUGCGAAGGCAGCCUGCUAAGCUGCAACUGACAUUGAGGCUCGAAAG